UACGGGGGGGGGCAAGCGUUUGUUCGGAAUUACUGGGCGUAAAGGGCUCGUAGGUGGCCAACUAAGUCAGACGUGAAAUCCCUCGGCUUAACCGGGGAACUGCGUCUGAUACUGGAUGGCUUGAGUUCGGGAGAGGGAUGCGGAAUUCCCAGUGUAGCGGUGAAAUGCGUAGAUAUUGGGAGGAACACCGGUGGCGAAGGCGGCCCCCUGGACCGGUACUGACGCUGAGGCGCGAAAGCGUGGGUAGCAAACGGGG
rnacentral:rRNA from 1 species